AGAAACAACAUACAUAGGCGAUGACGUGGCAGAAUAGUCAAUAUUUGAUGACGUAGACCACUUACUGGUAGAAGUAGACAGAUUACACGAGUUCCCGGUAUGAAUCGUCUGCUUUACGAGAUCGAUAACAUGACGGAGCAAGUGGCGACUUCUGAUCUGGUAAAUAUCAAUGAAAUUGAACUGCGUUAUAUGGGGCUCAGUCAACGAGUGCGUUUUGAACGUUUUCCUCGAUAUUGAAAUGGAGCCGAGUUGCAUUCCACUGUUCCAACGACACAGCCAGUGUUCAACGUCUCCUCCAACACGAUGCAGCAUAAAUCCAGUCACCGCUUGUUAUCUUCCUGUAUAUUUAAUUCAGCUUUUAACCAUUGCACCUUUAAUUUGGCGUAUAAUCCAUUUAAAUCUGCACAGUAACUGUUCCUGACCUGAACGCACAGCGAUGCCGUUUUGUUUUUGUUUUCAUUUGUGCCGUCCCGGCAAGAGUUAUCUUUUGACUUCUUUUAUAUUGACUUAUCUCUCUUUGGAUAUUGUUUAGUUAUGAACCGCCAUAUUUUUUGGUUACACGUUUUUCUGACCUCGUGUUCAAUAUCGCAAAUUGUGGCCCAUCACAGUCUUUUUACCAUCAACAUCAUUGUGUUAUCAUAAUAAAUUCAACUGAAACACUUU